AACGAACGCUGGCGGCAGGCUUAACACAUGCAAGUCGAACGCGUGUAGCAAUACACGAGUGGCGCACGGGUGAGUAACGCGUGGAUAUCUGCCUUUUGGUUCGGAAUAACCCCGGGAACUGGGCGUAAUACCGGAUGGUUCCUUCGGGAGUAAAGAAUUUAUUCGCCAAAAGAAUGAGUCCGCGUCCGAUUAGCUAGUUGGUGAGGUAAUGGCUCACCAAGGCGACGAUCGGUAGCUGGUCNGAGAGGACGAUCAGCCACACUGGGACUGAGACACGGCCCAGACUCCUACGGGAGGGCAGCAGUGGGGGAAGUAUUGGACGAAUGGGGGCGAACCCUGAUCCAGCCAUGCCGCGUGAGUGAUGAAGGCCUUCGGUUG
rnacentral:rRNA from 1 species